UACGUAGGGUGCAAGCGUUAAUCGGAAUUACUGGGCGUAAAGCGUGCGCAGGCGGUCAUGCAAGACAGAUGUGAAAUCCCCGGGCUCAACCUGGGAACCGCAUUUGUGACUGCAAGGCUGGAGUGCGGCAGAGGGGGAUGGAAUUCCGCGUGUAGCAGUGAAAUGCGUAGAUAUGCGGAGGAACACCGAUGGCGAAGGCAAUCCCCUGGGCCUGCACUGACGCUCAUGCACGAAAGCGUGGGGAGCAAACAGG
rnacentral:rRNA from 1 species